CGAACGCUGGCGGCGUGCCUAAUACAUGCAAGUCGAACGCUUCUUUUUCCACCCGGAGCUUGCUCCACCGGAAAAAGAGGAGUGGCGAACGGGUGAGUAACACGUGGGUAACCUGCCCAUCAGAAGGGGAUAACACUUGGAAACAGGUGCUAAUACCGUAUAACAAUCAAAACCGCAUGGUUUUGAUUUGAAAGGCGCUUUCGGGUGUCGCUGAUGGAUGGACCCGCGGUGCAUUAGCUAGUUGGUGAGGUAACGGCUCACCAAGGCCACGAUGCAUAGCCGACCUGAGAGGGUGAUCGGCCACAUUGGGACUGAGACACGGCCCAAACUCCUACGGGAGGCAGCAGUAGGGAAUCUUCGGCAAUGGACGAAAGUCUGACCGAGCAACGCCGCGUGAGUGAAGAAGGUUUUCGGAUCGUAAAACUCUGUUGUUAGAGAAGAACAAGGAUGAGAGUAACUGUUCAUCCCUUGACGGUAUCUAACCAGAAAGCCACGGCUAACUACGUGCCAGCAGCCGCGGUAAUACGUAGGUGGCAAGCGUUGUCCGGAUUUAUUGGGCGUAAAGCGAGCGCAGGCGGUUUCUUAAGUCUGAUGUGAAAGCCCCCGGCUCAACCGGGGAGGGUCAUUGGAAACUGGGAGACUUGAGUGCAGAAGAGGAGAGUGGAAUUCCAUGUGUAGCGGUGAAAUGCGUAGAUAUAUGGAGGAACACCAGUGGCGAAGGCGGCUCUCUGGUC
rnacentral:rRNA from 1 species